rnacentral:rRNA from 1 species
UACGAAGGGGGCUAGCGUUGCUCGGAAUCACUGGGCGUAAAGGGUGCGUAGGCGGGUCUUUAAGUCAGAGGUGAAAUCCUGGAGCUCAACUCCAGAACUGCCUUUGAUACUGAGGAUCUUGAGUUCGGGAGAGGUGAGUGGAACUGCGAGUGUAGAGGUGAAAUUCGUAGAUAUUCGGAAGAACACCAGUGGCGAAGGCGGCUCACUGGACCGUUGUUGACGCUGAGGUGCGAAAGCGUGGGGAGCAAACAGG